rnacentral:misc_RNA from 1 species
CCAUAUAGGGCAGUGGCGCAGAA